rnacentral:rRNA from 1 species
GACGAACGCUGGCGGCGUGCUUAACACAUGCAAGUCGAACGGAAAGGCCCUGCUUGCAGGGUACUCGAGUGGCGAACGGGUGAGUAACACGUGGGUGAUCUGCCCUGCACUUCGGGAUAAGCUUGGGAAACUGGGUCUAAUACCGGAUAGGAGCCAUCUUUAGUGUGGUGGUUGGAAAGUUUUUUCGGUGUAGGAUGAGCUCGCGGCCUAUCAGCUUGUCGGUGGGGUAAUGGCCUACCAAGGCGGCGACGGGUAGCCGGCCUGAGAGGGUGUACGGCCACAUUGGGACUGAGAUACGGCCCAGACUCCUACGGGAGGCAGCAGUGGGGAAUAUUGCACAAUGGGCGCAAGCCUGAUGCAGCGACGCCGCGUGGGGGAUGAAGGCCUUCGGGUUGUAAACUCCUUUCGCUAGGGACGAAGCUUUGUUGUGGCGGUACCUAGAUAAGAAGCACCGGCUAACUACGUG